GUCUUGGUCUAUGAUAAGACUGAAAAUAGAAUUUCUUCUAAACAUAACCUCAGCACUUGGAAUAUGCUAGUAUAUAUUCUAUAUGCGGCAAAACCCACUACUGGUGUCACUAGAGUGUUUUGGUAAACGCAUUCAGAAUGUCUAACUCAAGAACUUUUCUAGAUCUUUUUGUCUAAAAGUGCAUAAAAUGGCAAACGGCGUGUUAAAAGUGCGGUUACCGUUGGCCGUCGGCGUUAGCGAAUAAAAGACGCCACAGACAAAUCGAACUCGUUGGAAGCAACAUAAGUUAAUUGGCUUUGAUAUUAAAUAAUUUCACACCAGAACUUCAACAAUCAAGGGCGUGUUAUUGUUUUCCAUACGGGGCGCGCACACGACGCCUGGAAGCCAUUCUAUGCUCGCGCAGCAGGUAUACUGACAGCAGCAGGAGCGUAACGCCGGCGUUGCACAGCGGUGUCACCGAGCCACCGCGCUGCGAUCACUUCGGCGGAAACUUAAUCCAAAUUUGUCGGACAUCUCAUUCUGUGCUGGAAACACUGGGAGGCAGGAAGUUUGAAAAAACGGCCACUGCCGCCCGCAAUGUCUCGGUCGUGGGCUGGUCGUGGGUUCGUUAUGCCAGUUGUGCGUCAUUCUAAGCCGUUCUGUACAUUUAUACUGGAUAUUAAUUGGAGUCAUUUAGCUGUGCUGAUGCUGUUUGCCGUGUGUUUUGCAUCAGUGCUUCGUGACAUCGGCUGUAUUGCGUGUUUUCGCCGACGGCUUACUACCACAAUGGCGGGAUCUGCGUUCGCCGCCUUCGUGUCUCGGUGCGUCUUUGUACGUCGCACGUUCGGAUAACACUUUUUGCGACUGCUGGACAUCCUUCUUGUACCUUGGCGCUAGCUGGAUGACGGGACCUCAUCAUGAUCAGUGUAUUGCUUGCCUAUGUCUACAAGAACCGUCACGCGUGGCCUGUGACAGCAAGCUUUUGUGGGCAGCAAGUGCUCUCCUACGAAGGCUGGCCUACUCUGGCAGCGGCGGCAAUCAUCUUCAAGAUUUAUCCAUAAUCACCUUUGCUGCUUUUUGUCACUCUUGUUGAUUACACUUUCUGCGUCUUUUCUAAUUUAUUAGGUAAUAAAGUAUGAGUAAGUGACAUGGUGUGAAGUUGACGUC